CGGGGACCUGCGCGCCCACAAGUCUUAAUUAAUUUAUCGCAUCUCUGCUUGAUUUUUUUUUCACUCGCAUCCCUAAUCUUUUUAGUUCUGUACAUAUGCUUUAUGCAUUGAAAUACAUUCAUAUGUCUCUUUUUUUUUAGAUGUGUGUUCAUAUGUCUGUUUCUGGAAGAGAGUUGCUGGAAUUGUCAUCGCUGUUUCUGUGAUUUUACUCUUAACGUAGGUUAGCUUAAAUCUGCCUAGAUUACUACAACUGGAGCCAUGCCCCGAUGACUGGCUGUAUUACAAGAAGAAAUGUUACUAUAUCAUUCGGGGGUUGCAGCAGAUUGGGAUUCUAGCCAGAAGUUCUGCUCGGCCCAUGGAGCUUCUCUUGCAGUGAUUCACAGCCACCAAGAGCUGAACUUUGUAAUAUAUCGAAUACGUACUACAGACUUUUGGACUGGGCUACGCAAGAGAGGAAACGAAUUCUUCUGGGUGAAUGGAGAGUCAUUUGACACAAACUUGAGGAAUUACCAAGGCCAGGUAUUACGGAUUAUUUGA
rnacentral:lncRNA from 1 species